GAUGAACGCUGGCGGCGUGCCUAAUACAUGCAAGUCGAGCGAACCGACGAGGAGCUUGCUUUUCCGAUGUUAUCGGCGGACGGGUGAGUAACACGUGUAUAACCUACCUAUAAGACUGGGAUAACUUCGGGAAACCGGAUCUAAUACCGGAUAAUUUUUUGAACCUCAUUGUUCAAAAGUGAAAUAAGGUCUUUCUGUCACUUAUAGAUGGAUCCGCGCUGGAUUCGCUAGUUGGUAACGUAACUGCUUACCAAGGCAAGGAUGCAUAGCGGACCCAAAAGGGUGAUCGGCUACACUGGAAGUGAGACACGUCCCAGACUCCGACGCGGGGACGCGGUAGGGAAUCUUCCGCAAUGGAGGAAAGCCGGACGUAGCAACGCCGCGUGAGUGAUGAAGGUCCUCGGAUCGUAAAACGCUGUUAGUAGGGAAGAACAUAUGUGUAAGUAACUGUGCAGAUCUUGACGGUACCGAAUCAGAAAGCCACGGCUAACUACGUG
rnacentral:rRNA from 1 species